rnacentral:rRNA from 1 species
GACGAACGCUGGCGGCGUGCCUAAUACAUGCAAGUAGAACGCUGAAGGAGGAGCUUGCUCUUCUGGAUGAGUUGCGAACGGGUGAGUAACGCGUAGGUAACCUGCCUGGUAGCGGGGGAUAACUAUUGGAAACGAUAGCUAAUACCGCAUAAGAGUAGAUGUUGCAUGACAUUUGCUUAAAAGGUGCAAUUGCAUCACUACCAGAUGGACCUGCGUUGUAUUAGCUAGUUGGUGGGGUAACGGCUCACCAAGGCGACGAUACAUAGCCGACCUGGGAGGGUGAUCGGCCACACUGGGACUGAGACACGGCCCAGACUCCUACGGGAGGCAGCAGUAGGGAAUCUUCGGCAAUGGACGGAAGUCUGACCGAGCAACGCCGCGUGAGUGAAGAAGGUUUUCGGAUCGUAAAGCUCUGUUGUAAGAGAAGAACGAGUGUGAGAGUGGAAAGUUCACAAUGUGACGGUAUCUUACCAGAAAGGGACGGCUAACUACGUG